rnacentral:rRNA from 1 species
AGAGUUUGAUCCUGGCUCAGGAUGAACGCUGGCGGCGUGCUUAACACAUGCAAGUCGAACGCACCUUCGGGUGAGUGGCGGACGGGUGAGUAACGCGUGGGAAUCUGCCCUUAGGAGGGGGAUAACGGCUGGAAACGGCCGCUAAUACCCCAUAUGCCGAGAGGUGAAACGAAUUUCGCCUGAGGAUGAGCCCGCGUCUGAUUAGCUAGUUGGUGGGGUAAGAGCCCACCAAGGCGACGAUCAGUAGCUGGUCUGAGAGGAUGAUCAGCCACACUGGGACUGAGACACGGCCCAGACUCCUACGGGAGGCAGCAGUGGGGAAUUUUCCGCAAUGGGCGAAAGCCUGACGGAGCAACGCCGCGUGAGGGAUGAAGGCCUCUGGGCUGUAAACCUCUUUUCUCAAGGAAGAAGACAUGACGGUACUUGAGGAAUAAGCCACGGCUAAUUCCGUGCCAGCAGCCGCGGUAAUACGGGAGUGGCAAGCGUUAUCCGGAAUUAUUGGGCGUAAAGCGUCCGCAGGCGGCUCUGUAAGUCUGUUGUUAAAGCGUGGAGCUCAACUCCAUUUCAGCAAUGGAAACUACAGGGCUUGAGUGUGGUAGGGGCAGAGGGAAUUCCCGGUGUAGCGGUGAAAUGCGUAGAUAUCGGGAAGAACACCAGUGGCGAAGGCGCUCUGCUGGGCCAUAACUGACGCUCAUGGACGAAAGCCAGGGGAGCGAAAGGGAUUAGAUACCCCUGUAGUCCUGGCCGUAAACGAUGAACACUAGGUGUCGGGGGAAUCGACCCCCUCGGUGUCGUAGCCAACGCGUUAAGUGUUCCGCCUGGGGAGUACGCACGCAAGUGUGAAACUCAAAGGAAUUGACGGGGGCCCGCACAAGCGGUGGAGUAUGUGGUUUAAUUCGAUGCAACGCGAAGAACCUUACCAGGGUUUGACAUCCUGCGAAUCCCUUGGAAACUUGGGAGUGCCUUCGGGAGCGCAGAGACAGGUGGUGCAUGGCUGUCGUCAGCUCGUGUCGUGAGAUGUUGGGUUAAGUCCCGCAACGAGCGCAACCACGUCUUUAGUUGCCAGCAUUCAGUUGGGCACUCUAGAGAGACCGCCGGUGAUAAACCGGAGGAAGGUGUGGAUGACGUCAAGUCAUCAUGCCCCUUACAUCCUGGGCUACACACGUACUACAAUGCUACGGACAGAGGGCAGCAAGCUCGCGAGAGUUAGCAAAUCCCAUAAACCGUGGCUCAGUUCAGAUCGUAGGCUGCAACUCGCCUACGUGAAGGAGGAAUCGCUAGUAAUCGCAGGUCAGCAUACUGCGGUGAAUACGUUCCCGGGCCUUGUACACGCCGCCCGUCACAUCAUGAAAGCCGUCUGCACCCGAAGUCGCUGAGCCAACCAA